rnacentral:pre_miRNA from 1 species
GUGCCAUUGUGAUGUUGGCUCGGUUCACUCAGACAAAUUACUAUGUUUUACUACAAGCAUGUUAUGGUCUUUGAUUGAGCCGUGCCAAUAUCUUAGUGCUCUUU